AGACUGCUGACAAAGUACCGGCUACGGAGAGAACAGGCAGAUUAUAAAGAUGCCGUGAAUACGUCCUUGUAGGCUCGUGCUGCGCCAUCCUUGGGGCGGACGCUUU
rnacentral:ncRNA from 1 species